rnacentral:rRNA from 1 species
CCUGAGUAGCGGCGAGCGAAACGGAAAGAGCCCAAACCAAGAAGCUUGCUUCUUGGGGUUGUAGGACACUCUAUACGGAGUUACAAAAGAAAGUUAUAAAUGAAGCGGUCUGGAAAGGCCCGCCAAAGACGGUAACAGCCCGGUAGUUGAAAUGGCUUUCCCUCCAGAGUGGAUCCUGAGUACGGCGGAACACGUGAAAUUCCGUCGGAAUCCGGGAGGACCAUCUCCCAAGGCUAAAUACUCCCUAGUGACCGAUAGUGAACCAGUACCGUGAGGGAAAGGUGAAAAGCACCCCGGAAGGGGAGUGAAACAGUUCCUGAAACCGUGUGCCUACAAGUAGUUAGAGCCCGUUAAUGGGUGAUAGCGUGCCUUUUGUAGAAUGAACCGGCGAGUUACGAUUUGUUGCAAGGUUAAGCGGAAAAAGCGGAG